UACGUAGGGGGCGAGCGUUGUCCGGAUUUAUUGGGCGUAAAGAGCUCGUAGGCGGUCUGUCGCGUCGGCUGUGAAAACCCGGGGCUCAACCCCGGGCCUGCAGUCGAUACGGGCAGACUAGAGUGCGGUAGGGGAGACUGGAAUUCCUGGUGUAGCGGUGAAAUGCGCAGAUAUCAGGAGGAACACCGGUGGCGAAGGCGGGUCUCUGGGCCGUAACUGACGCUGAGGAGCGAAAGCGUGGGGAGCGAACAGG
rnacentral:rRNA from 1 species